rnacentral:lncRNA from 1 species
GUUUGUCCCAUUCAUUUCUGUUCCUUCUCAGCCAAGGACCUCUCUUUCUCCACCCACCACUUAUAUGCUAGCAUCCCCCAGGUGUCUGUCUUCAUCUCACUGCUCUUCUCACUAUUGAUACUCUUGGGUGAAUUUAUCCAUUCUCAGGAUUUCGACUACCACCUGUAUGCUAAUGACUCUCUAAUUCAAUCUCCAGCUCAGAUAUCUUCCCCAAGCUUCAGACUCACCAGUUCCUGCCAGGCACCUUCACUCAGGUACUCUUCAGAUAUUUCAGAUUUGACUUCUCCAAAACAGGUCUGUACUGGGGCCUGAGAAACUACAUUUUGAACAAGAGCCCAGGUGGGGCUGAGGCUGCUGGUCUGGGCAUCACACGUGGAGAGCCGCUGUCCAGAGGAGACCCAUUGCUGCCCAGCGUCCACCGCCUGCCCGCCCUUAAGCCAGGUUCACAUUUGAGAGAGAAAUGACUGUGGAUAAAUGCUAGUGGGAGCUGAGAGUGAGACAGAGAGAGAGAGAGAUUCCAUGGUGCAUGAUGUCUGAGAAGAAGAAUCUAAAGGAGAAGAAUCCAAGCCUGGAUGGAGGGAUUGCUUUUGAUGCUCCUCCCCCGUCCCCAGUGGUCAGGAGGUGGCGAUGGAAGUUCCAACCCUCUAAUCUCACAGUUGGAUCCUCUGACAACCAGCCCCCAUCCUCCAAGAGUCGUCUCAUUGGCAUAAACUCAGUGCAUAGUGGUAAGGAAGGAGGUGGAAGAAUUGGAACUUCAAAAUAAUAAAGUACAAAGAAAUGGCAAGUUCUCCAGAUUUUCUAAAAGGAGCAGAGAAGAGCGAACUUCUAGAGAUGCCUCUCACCACAGAGAGCAAAAUAAUUGUUGGCUGAGUGUUCUGACUCCUCAUCUGAGAUCAGCCUUUGCGUGUGCGCCCCAUCCUGCCAAUCACGUCUUACAGGAUCAUUCCACACUUGGAAUAUUGGAGGGGUCUGUCAGAUCUGCCCAUCACCCAUGAGAUGCGCAACUUGUGACAGCCAAAGACUGGUUAGAACUCAAGAAGGAAGCCUCCAAAGACCCUUUCUCCAAGCUGCUUAAGACUUUAUCAGGU